UGGCGCCCAGCGUGGGGGCUCCUGUCAUGGGGGAGUCAACGAGGGAGCCGUUCGAGAAAGCGGGCUGAAAGUGAAAGCAAAUUGAACCAAAGACCGCAGCAAAAGAAAAAACAAACUAAAUCAAGACUAAGGCUACAAGCAAAAGAACAUUAAAUCAAGGAUGGAGGCCUGCGCGGACAACUACCCAACGUACCGCCCGAGUCAUGGUGAGUGAACGGUGACCCCAUCCCCUUUCCCGGACAUGGGUCAAGCAUUGAGCGAACACGAAUUCUUCGUGGGAAACCUUAUAAAGGCAUGAAAGACAAGAGGGGUAAGGGUUAGAACAAAAGAAUUAUUGCAGUAUUUUCAAUUUAUUCAUAAGGUUUUCCCUU
rfam:Cavia porcellus supercont2_32 genomic scaffold, whole genome shotgun sequence.